rnacentral:rRNA from 1 species
UGUGUAUCAGUACAUGGCAUAUCAAUAAGCGGAGGAAAAGAAACUAACAAGGAUUCCCUUAGUAACGGCGAGUGAAGCGGGAAGAGCUCAAAUUUGAAAUCUUCAAGGUUCUACCUUGACGAAUUGUAGUUUAUAGAAGUGUUUUCUGUUAGUGGAGUGGCAAAAGUUCUUUGGAAUAGGACAUCAUAGAGGGUGAGAAUCCCGUAUUUGGUCAUUCCUCCUAGCGUUGUGAUACACUUUCAACGAGUCGGAUUGUUUGGGAAUGCAGUCCAAAAUGGGUGGUAAAUUUCAUCUAAAGCUAAAUAUUGGCGAGAGACCGAUAGCGAACAAGUACCGUGAGGGAAAGAUGAAAAGAACUUUGAAAAGAGAGUUAAACAGUACGUGAAAUUGUCAAAAGGGAAGCGUUUGACACCAGUGUUGUUUUUCCGAAAAUCAAUUACGAAUGUUUUGUUUUUGAGGAGUUAUGACUUCAUCGGCUUGCUCCUUUCUUUAUGAAACUUUCUUAAUGCACUUUUCGGUUAACAAGUCAACAUCAAUUUCUUUUGUUGUGAAAGGGUAUGAGGAAGGUGGCUUUCUUUUCGGAGAAAGUGUUUAUAGCCUUGUGCCUCUGCAAUCGGAGAGAUUGAGGUCUGCAGCGUAGAUCCUUCGGGGUUAGAUACAGUUUGUGCUAAGUUAUAGCUUUUCAUAGACAACUUGUUGACUAUGUUUAGUCUUGUAGCUUACUCGCUUAUGCUAUUUUACCUACGCUUAGGAUGUUGACAGCAGUAUAGACUGU